rnacentral:misc_RNA from 1 species
CACCACUCAAGCACCGCUUGGUAUUGGGCAUCGUCCGUCGAAAGGCGGGCGUGCCUCGAAGACCUCGGCGGGGUUUCUCCAACUUCGGGCGUAGUAGAGUUAAAUCAAAACGUCUUAUAAGCUUGGUGAGAUCUCAUUGCCGUUAAACCUUUUAUUUUUUCA